rnacentral:rRNA from 1 species
CUUCGGCGUAAAGCGUGGUUAAAGGCCCUAUAACACUAAAGCCAAAUACUCUCCUAGCUGUUAUACGCUCCCGAGAGUAAGAAGCCCCUCUACGAAAGUAACUUUAUUAAUCUUGACCCCACGAAAACUGUGGCACAAACUGGGAUUAGAUACCCCACUAUGCACAGUUGUAAACUUCGGUGGCCCCCUCUACUUAAGCCCCCCGCCAGGAACUACGAGCAAAAGCUUAAAACCCAAAGGACUUGGCGGUGCUUAAGAUCCCCCUAGAGGAGCCUGUUCUAGAAUCGAUACCCCCCGUUCAACCUCACCCCCUUUUGUUCAAUCCGCCUAUAUACCGCCGUCGUCAGCCUACCCUAUGAAGGAACAANCAGUAAGCAAAACUAGUC